AGAUGUGUUUUUUUUUUGCUUCAUCAACCGUUUGGAUGUGGAAAUCUUUCUCAACUAGGUGGUCUACAGAGGGGCAAUAUUUGUCAAAUGUACCAGAGGUGAGGAAGGUUGUUGUUUACUUAGAAAGUCUCAAAAAGGUAAAUCAUCAGUCAGACACACGACACGGAACCUGCAAUGGAUGCAUCGUGUGGCACCCUAGUACGCGCUUAUGAGAUGUCGUGGAUCGCUAUUCAAACACAGAUUAAUUGAUUUCAAUUUCGUACUUCACGUGUUUGAUUAUUUUCAUUCAACUUUUCUUCACCAUUUCUCCCGCAUAUAGAACUCACCUGCAUUACCCACAAAUUUGACGACGGCACAAUUUGAUCUCCUACUGUAUCCAUAUAGAGCUGUGCGCGGGUGGCGAUAGGUGCGGAUAUCACUUGAUCAUCC